rnacentral:rRNA from 1 species
GCUUACGGCCACACCAACCUGGCUAUGCCCGAUCUCGUCUGAUCUCGGAAGCUAAGCAGGUUUGGGCCUGUUUAGUACUUGGAUGGGAGGACCGCCUGGGAAUACCAGGUGCUGUAAGCU